rnacentral:lncRNA from 14 species
GAGCAGGCUCUGCACCCCACACCACUGUGCAGGUGUGCUGGGUGAGCUCACAACUGCCCCCAGGCAUGCCCAGCCCACCAAUCAUUCACAGCUCGACAGCUCCUCCGCCCAACCCACUUCUAAGGGGGAUAAAAAGAGGACCUCAAGCCUCCUAAGUUACAGAGCCACCCACAGCGUCCCGUUGAACGCCGACCUCCCUGCCACCAGCGCCCCGUGCUCUUGCUCCUCCAGGAACAAACACCAUCAUGUCUCGCCAGUCCAGUGUGUCCUUCCGAAGCGGGGGCAGCCGCUCUUUCAGCGCCGCUUCUGCCAUCACCCCAUCUGUCUCUCGUACCACCUUCAGCUCGGUGUCCCGCAGUGGUGGUGGUGGUGGCAGGGUCAGCCUUGGUGGCGCUUACGGAGCCGGGGGCUAUGGCAGCCGAAGCCUGUACAAUGUGGGGGGCUCCAAAAGGAUCUCCUUCAGUUCUGGCGGAGGUAGCUUCAGGAACCAAUUUGGUGCCGGUGCUGGAGGCGGCUAUGGCUUUGGAGGAGGAGCAGGCAGUGGAUUCGGCUUUGGUGGUGGAGCUGGCAGUGGCUUUGGCUUCGGUGGUGGAGCUGGCUUUGGUGGUGGCUAUGGUGGAGCUGGCUUCCCUGUGUGCCCCCCUGGUGGCAUCCAAGAGGUCACCGUUAACCAGAAUCUCCUCACACCCCUGAACCUGCAAAUCGAUCCCACCAUCCAGCGGGUCAGGACUGAGGAGAGGGAGCAGAUCAAGACCCUCAACAACAAGUUUGCCUCCUUCAUCGACAAGGUGCGGUUCCUGGAGCAGCAGAACAAGGUCCUGGACACCAAAUGGACCCUGCUGCAGGAGCAGGGCACCAAGACCAUAAAGCAGAACCUGGAUCCGUUGUUG